UACGAAGGGGGCUAGCGUUGCUCGGAAUCACUGGGCGUAAAGCGCACGUAGGCGGAUUGCUAAGUCAGGGGUGAAAUCCUGGAGCUCAACUCCAGAACUGCCUUUGAUACUGGCAACCUUAGCGGCGGAGAGGUGAGUGGAACUGCGAGUGUAGAGGUGAAAUUCGUAGAUAUUCGCAAGAACACCAGUGGCGAAGGCGGCUCACUGGCCCGGUACUGACGCUGAGGUGCGAAAGCGUGGGGAGCAAACAGG
rnacentral:rRNA from 1 species